UACGUAGGGUGCGAGCGUUAAUCGGAAUUACUGGGCGUAAAGCGUGCGCAGGCGGCGCGUUAAGACAGGUGUGAAAGCCCCGAGCUUAACUUGGGAAUUGCGCUUGUGACUGGCGUGCUGGAGUGUGGCAGAGGGAGGUGGAAUUCCACGUGUAGCAGUGAAAUGCGUAGAGAUGUGGAGGAACACCGAUGGCGAAGGCAGCCUCCUGGGCCAGCACUGACGCUCAUGCACGAAAGCGUGGGGGAGCGAAACAAGG
rnacentral:rRNA from 1 species